UUUUUUUUUUUUUUUUUUUUUUUUUUCCUAUAAAAAUGAAUCAA
rnacentral:ribozyme from 1 species